rnacentral:lncRNA from 1 species
GUUAUCAAAGUACAAACCCUUGAAAGAUAUUUUGUUAGCAUAUAUUGAAACUAUGUUUACAGUCUUACAGCACCUUUUUUAAACUUUCCCCAACAAAUCGCACUAGCUAAAAUCAUCAAUCACAAAUGAUCUGUGCCGAAUGCUAUGGCAUCUGUUGUAGAACAGAAUAACCUAACUUAAUUGGAUGAGCAAAAAAUAUAACUUAGUCACAAGGCUAUCUCCGACCAGUAGUAUAACCUCCAACUAGCCCGACUUGUGCUGAGGCACCACCAACUGAAGUAAACGCCAACAAAUUGUAACAAUUUGAUUCCACAAGUAAAGCAAGUAACAAUUCGAUUGCGAAAAAUACUGCAAUUAAUAGUAUACCGAGUAAUCACUACCAACAGAAAAAUACAGUACGCUAGUAUCGGUAAAAAUGCUAGUUGAGCUGGGGGAAAGUAGAAAACCUUACUGAUAUUGCCAAAAAUCAAGACGAUGCAACCCGCAGUUGGGCGCCUGGAGGUCAGGUGUGACCCCGUCCUACCGCCACGGGGCGACCGACAGGAGAUCCAGCCAUCCAGGCGAAGGUAAAGCUAGCAGAUCCGCAGGACGAUGACCGCGGCGAACCUAUCAGCAGCGGUAAUCGCGAGCGACCGACAUCACCCGCGACAGGGGGAGAUCGCCGGACAUGGCCGCCCCGCGUGAGCAUUUCGGCCCGGCCCAGAAUGGGUCCGUGAUACUCG